GGUUGCUCCAGAAGUAGAUAGCUUAACCUUCGGGAGGGCGUUUACCACGGAGUGAUUCAUGACUGGGGUGAAGUCGUAACAAGGUAACCGUAGGGGAACCUGCGGUUGGAUCACCUCCUUACCUUAAA
rnacentral:rRNA from 1 species